GCUCAGGAUGAACGCUGGCGGCGUGCCUAACACAUGCAAGUCGAGCGAGGGUUUGCUCAGUAUUGAGUAUUCUAAGACUAGAAUGUUCAAUUCUGAGCAAAACCAAGCGGCGGACGGGUGAGUAACGCGUGGGUAACCUGCCCUAUACACAUGGAUAACAUACUGAAAAGUUUACUAAUACAUGAUAAUAUAUAUUUGCGGCAUCGCAGAUAUAUCAAAGUGUUAGCGGUAUAGGAUGGACCCGCGUCUGAUUAGCUAGUUGGUGAGAUAACUGCCCACCAAGGCGACGAUCAGUAGCCGACCUGAGAGGGUGAUCGGCCACAUUGGAACUGAGACACGGUCCAAACUCCUACGGGAGGCAGCAGUA
rnacentral:rRNA from 1 species